rnacentral:misc_RNA from 1 species
AACGCACAUUGCGCCUUCCGGUAUUCCGGGAGGCACGUCUGUUUGAGCGUCAGCUAAACCCUUCCGGCCCCCGGCUUUUUGUUCGGGGGUUCGGGCUUGCUGGCGCAGGGGACUGAAGCCGCCGCGCUCCGGCGCGGGUCGGGUCCUUCCCCCGCUUAAACCCGUGGAAGCUAGCGGGCAUGGUCCCGGAUUGCGAACGACUCGUAUAACCUACCGUCGUACCAGCGUCCGGCCUGCCUCGCCUCCAUCGUUUUUGGGAAAAAGAGGAUUUCCUCUCCUACCCAUUUUUAAAUCUUGGCCUCAAAUCAGACGAGGAUACCCGCUGAACUUAA